rnacentral:rRNA from 1 species
GGUUAAGCGACUAAGCGUACACGGUGGAUGCCCUGGCAGUCAGAGGCGAUGAAGGACGUGCUAAUCUGCGAUAAGCGUCGGUAAGGUGAUAUGAACCGUUAUAACCGGCGAUUUCCGAAUGGGGAAACCCAGUGUGUUUCGACACACUAUCAUUAACUGAAUCCAUAGGUUAAUGAGGCGAACCGGGGGAACUGAAACAUCUAAGUACCCCGAGGAAAAGAAAUCAACCGAGAUUCCCCCAGUAGCGGCGAGCGAACGGGGAGCAGCCCAGAGCCUGAAUCAGUGUGUGUGUUAGUGGAAGCGUCUGGAAAGGCGCGCGAUACAGGGUGACAGCCCCGUACACAAAAAUGCACAUGCUGUGAGCUCGAUGAGUAGGGCGGGACACGUGGUAUCCUGUCUGAAUAUGGGGGGACCAUCCUCCAAGGCUAAAUACUCCUGACUGACCGAUAGUGAACCAGUACCGUGAGGGAAAGGCGAAAAGAACCCCGGCGAGGGGAGUGAAAAAGAACCUGAAACCGUGUACGUACAAGCAGUGGGAGCACGCUUCGGCGUGUGACUGCGUACCUUUUGUAUAAUGGGUCAGCGACUUAUAUUCUGUAGCAAGGUUAACCGAAUAGGGGAGCCGAAGGGAAACCGAGUCUUAACUGGGCGUUAAGUUGCAGGGUAUAGACCCGAAACCCGGUGAUCUAGCCAUGGGCAGGUUGAAGGUUGGGUAACACUAACUGGAGGACCGAACCGACUAAUGUUGAAAAAUUAGCGGAUGACUUGUGGCUGGGGGUGAAAGGCCAAUCAAACCGGGAGAUAGCUGGUUCUCCCCGAAAGCUAUUUAGGUAGCGCCUCGUGAAUUCAUCUCCGGGGGUAGAGCACUGUUUCGGCAAGGGGGUCAUCCCGACUUACCAACCCGAUGCAAACUGCGAAUACCGGAGAAUGUUAUCACGGGAGACACACGGCGGGUGCUAACGUCCGUCGUGAAGAGGGAAACAACCCAGACCGCCAGCUAAGGUCCCAAAGUCAUGGUUAAGUGGGAAACGAUGUGGGAAGGCCCAGACAGCCAGGAUGUUGGCUUAGAAGCAGCCAUCAUUUAAAGAAAGCGUAAUAGCUCACUGGUCGAGUCGGCCUGCGCGGAAGAUGUAACGGGGCUAAACCAUGCACCGAAGCUGCGGCAGCGACGCUUAUGCGUUGUUGGGUAGGGGAGCGUUCUGUAAGCCUGUGAAGGUGUGCUGUGAGGCAUGCUGGAGGUAUCAGAAGUGCGAAUGCUGACAUAAGUAACGAUAAAGCGGGUGAAAAGCCCGCUCGCCGGAAGACCAAGGGUUCCUGUCCAACGUUAAUCGGGGCAGGGUGAGUCGACCCCUAAGGCGAGGCCGAAAGGCGUAGUCGAUGGGAAACAGGUUAAUAUUCCUGUACUUGGUGUUACUGCGAAGGGGGGACGGAGAAGGCUAUGUUGGCCGGGCGACGGUUGUCCCGGUUUAAGCGUGUAGGCUGGUUUUCCAGGCAAAUCCGGAAAAUCAAGGCUGAGGCGUGAUGACGAAGCACUACGGUGCUGAAGCAACAAAUGCCCUGCUUCCAGGAAAAGCCUCUAAGCAUCAGGUAACAUCAAAUCGUACCCCAAACCGACACAGGUGGUCAGGUAGAGAAUACCAAGGCGCUUGAGAGAACUCGGGUGAAGGAACUAGGCAAAAUGGUGCCGUAACUUCGGGAGAAGGCACGCUGAUAUGUAGGUGAAGUCCCUUGCGGAUGGAGCUGAAAUCAGUCGAAGAUACCAGCUGGCUGCAACUGUUUAUUAAAAACACAGCACUGUGCAAACACGAAAGUGGACGUAUACGGUGUGACGCCUGCCCGGUGCCGGAAGGUUAAUUGAUGGGGUCAGCGCAAGCGAAGCUCUUGAUCGAAGCCCCGGUAAACGGCGGCCGUAACUAUAACGGUCCUAAGGUAGCGAAAUUCCUUGUCGGGUAAGUUCCGACCUGCACGAAUGGCGUAAUGAUGGCCAGGCUGUCUCCACCCGAGACUCAGUGAAAUUGAACUCGCUGUGAAGAUGCAGUGUACCCGCGGCAAGACGGAAAGACCCCGUGAACCUUUACUAUAGCUUGACACUGAACAUUGAGCCUUGAUGUGUAGGAUAGGUGGGAGGCUUUGAAGUGUGGACGCCAGUCUGCAUGGAGCCGACCUUGAAAUACCACCCUUUAAUGUUUGAUGUUCUAACGUUGACCCGUAAUCCGGGUUGCGGACAGUGUCUGGUGGGUAGUUUGACUGGGGCGGUCUCCUCCUAAAGAGUAACGGAGGAGCACGAAGGUUGGCUAAUCCUGGUCGGACAUCAGGAGGUUAGUGCAAUGGCAUAAGCCAGCUUGACUGCGAGCGUGACGGCGCGAGCAGGUGCGAAAGCAGGUCAUAGUGAUCCGGUGGUUCUGAAUGGAAGGGCCAUCGCUCAACGGAUAAAAGGUACUCCGGGGAUAACAGGCUGAUACCGCCCAAGAGUUCAUAUCGACGGCGGUGUUUGGCACCUCGAUGUCGGCUCAUCACAUCCUGGGGCUGAAGUAGGUCCCAAGGGUAUGGCUGUUCGCCAUUUAAAGUGGUACGCGAGCUGGGUUUAGAACGUCGUGAGACAGUUCGGUCCCUAUCUGCCGUGGGCGCUGGAGAACUGAGGGGGGCUGCUCCUAGUACGAGAGGACCGGAGUGGACGCAUCACUGGUGUUCGGGUUGUCAUGCCAAUGGCACUGCCCGGUAGCUAAAUGCGGAAGAGAUAAGUGCUGAAAGCAUCUAAGCACGAAACUUGCCCCGAGAUGAGUUCUCCCUGACCCUUUAAGGGUCCUGAAGGAACGUUGAAGACGACGACGUUGAUAGGCCGGGUGUGUAAGCGCAGCGAUGCGUUGAGCUAACCGGUACUAAUGAACCGUGAGGCUUAACCUU